UACGUAGGUCCCGAGCGUUAUCCGGAUUUAUUGGGCGUAAAGCGAGCGCAGGCGGUUAGAUAAGUCUGAAGUUAAAGGCUGUGGCUUAACCAUAGUACGCUUUGGAAACUGUUUAACUUGAGUGCAGAAGGGGAGAGUGGAAUUCCAUGUGUAGCGGUGAAACGCGUAGAUAUAUGGAGGAACACCGGUGGCGAAAGCGGCUCUCUGNGUCUGUAACUGACGCUGAGGCUCGAAAGCGUGGGGAGCAAACC
rnacentral:rRNA from 1 species